CCUACGGGAGGUAGCAGUGAGGAAUAUUGGUCAAUGGACGAGAGUCUGAACCAGCCAAGUAGCGUGAAGGAUGACUGCCCUAUGGGUUGUAAACUUCUUUUAUAAAGGAAUAAAACGAGGCACGUGUGCCUUUUUGCAUGUACUUUAUGAAUAAGGAUCGGCUAACUCCGUGCCAGCAGCCGCGGUAAUACGGAGGAUCCGAGCGUUAUCCGGAUUUGUUGGGUUUAAAGGGAGCUAAGAUGGGUUGUUAAGUCAGUUGUGAAAGUUUGCGGCUCAACCGUAAAACUGCAAUUGAUACUGGCAGUCUUGAGUACAGUUGAGGUAGGCGGAAUUCGUGGUGUAGCGGUGAAAUGCUUAGAUAUCACGAAGAACCCCGAUUGCGAAGGCAGCUUACUAAACUGUGACUGACAUUGAUGCUCGAAAGUGUGGGUAUCAAACAGGAUUAGAUACCCGUGUAGUC
rnacentral:rRNA from 1 species